AGCAGUUUAACUUAAUGGUAAAGCAUUUGACCGGAAAUCAAAACGAUGUGAGUUCGAUUCUCAUGGCUGGUU
rfam:Octopus bimaculoides Scaffold18956_contig_100, whole genome shotgun sequence.